rnacentral:rRNA from 1 species
UACGUAGGGGGCUAGCGUUGUCCGGAUUUAUUGGGCGUAAAGAGCGUGUAGGCGGCCAGGUAGGUCUGCUGUGAAAACUCGAGGCUCAACCUCGAGACGUCGGCGGAAACCAUCUGGCUAGAGUCCGGAAGAGGAGAGUGGAAUUCCUGGUGUAGCGGUGAAAUGCGCAGAUAUCAGGAAGAACACCCGUGGCUAAGGCGGCUCUCUAGUAUGGUACUGACGCUGAGACGCGAAAGCGUGGGGAGCGAACAGG